rnacentral:rRNA from 1 species
AUGGCCGGCCGCCGCCGCAGCCGCUCCCGAAUCCAAGGCGACGGGGCGGCCCGUCCUAGUCGCCGCCGCUCCCGAGUCCACGGCAGCGAGAACGGCGACGGGGCGACCCGUCCUAGUCGCCGCCGCUCCCGAGUCAUCAGCAGCGAGGACGGCGACGGCGUGACCCGUCCUAGUCGCCGCCGCUCCCGAGUCGUCGCCAGCGAGGACGGCGACGGGGCGACCCGUCCCAGCCGCCGCCGCUCCCGAGUCGUCGGCAGCGAGGACGGCGAUGGGGCGACCCGUCCUAGUCGCCGCCGCUCCCGAGUCGUCGGCAGCGAGGACGGCGACGGCGUGACCCGUCCUAGUCGCCGCCGCUCCCGAGUCGUCGGCAGCGACGACGGCGACGGGGCGACCCGUCCCAGCCGCCGCCGCCGCGCCAGCUCGCCGGAGGUGCCAGACGAAGCUGACGCUGAUACCCUGUGGGAGUCGCUGCCGUUGGAUAUGAUUUGGGAGAUCCUGCUCCUGCUUCCACCGGAGCGGCCCUCCCUCGUGCUGCCACCGAAGCGGCGCUCCUUCCUGCGCGCAUCCGGCGUCUCCACGCUCUGGCGAGGCGUCGCCACCGACCCCAACUUUAUGAGCCAGCACCGCAGGAAGUGGAAGCCUCCCCUCCUCGGCGUUUUCGAGCGCCGCCAGCAGAAGUUCCACUUCACCCCCGUCUUGCAUCCUCCCGACGGUAUCCCUGCCGACCGCAUUCACAUCUCAAGCCAGAUGACCUCCCGCGACUGCGACGCGACCGGCUGCCGCCACGGUCGGGUGCUGGCCAUACACAGGCUGCUGCCGCGUCUUGUCGUGUUCGCCCCCCUCACCGGCCAGGAGCACUGCCUGGCCUUUCCGGACGAGUUCAGGGAGUGCAACUACCACCACGGGGCUGUGCUCUGUGCUGCCAGCGGCCCGGAGGACCACGUGCACGGCUUUUGCCACGAGAGCCCAUUCAAGGUGGCAUUCUUGUCGAGGUACCCUACACGCUAUCGAUUUAUCACAUCUGUUUACUCAUCAGAAAGUGGCACAUGGGGCGGCCUUAAGGAAAUAGAAGCUCCAUUUAAAGUUGCUCUUGUUGAUGUUCCUGCGACCCUGGUUGGAAAUGUGCUCUACUGGAUGCUUUCAUCAAAUGAUGUUUGUGCUGCCAUGCUUGAGUUUGAUUUGGAUACGCAGAGCCUAGCUGUGAUCAAGGGACCUUCUGAUAUGAAUUAUUCCGGCAGCCAUAGGAUCAUCAAAAUAGAGCAAGGCACGGUUGGCUGGGUCAGGUUUUCAUUUCCGAGCCUAGAGAUAUGGCUGAGGCAAAAGAAUUGUCAUGGUGUUGCCACGUGGUUGCAGCACAAGACAGUUGAUAUGCAUGACAUUCUUGGGAUCCCUCCCCGGGCUAGUAAUAAUCGGUGGCAUCAGAAAAUCCUCUCCUAUGACGAGGACAACAAUGUGAUCAUUCUGUAUGUUGAUGACAGUGCCUACAUGCUUGAUCUUAAGUCGAUGGAAUCCACAAAACUUGAUGAAAGCCGUUUGAUGAAUCGCUGUCACCCUUUCGCCAGUUUCUAUCCACCAGACAUGACCAUCUAA